rnacentral:rRNA from 1 species
GAUGAACGCUGGCGGCGUGCUUAACACAUGCAAGUCGAACGGAAAGGCCAGUGCUUGCACUGGUACUCGAGUGGCGAACGGGUGAGUAACACGUGGGUGAUCUGCCCUGCACUUCGGGAUAAGCCUGGGAAACUGGGUCUAAUACCGGAUAGGACAAUGGUUUGGAUGCCGUUGGGGAAAGUUUUUUCGGUGUGGGAUGAGCUCGCGGCCUAUCAGCUUGUUGGUGGGGGAAUGGCCUACCAAGGCGUCGACGGGUAGCCGGCCUGAGAGGGUGUACGGCCACAUUGGGAAUGAGAUACGGCCCAGACUCCUACGGGGGGCAGCAGUGGGGGAUAUUGCACAAUGGGCGCAAGCCUGAUGCAGCGACGCCGCGUGGGGGAUGACGGCCUUCGGGUUGUAAACUCCUUUCGCUAGGGACGAAGCGUAUUUGUGACGGUACCUGGAGAAGAAGCACCGGCUAACUACGUG